AUUGAACGCUGGCGGCAGGCCUAACACAUGCAAGUCGAGCGGAUGAAGGGAGCUUGCUCCUGGAUUCAGCGGCGGACGGGUGAGUAAUGCCUAGGAAUCUGCCUGGUAGUGGGGGAUAACGUCCGGAAACGGGCGCUAAUACCGCAUACGUCCUGAGGGAGAAAGUGGGGGAUCUUCGGACCUCACGCUCUCAGAUGAGCCUAGGUCGGAUUAGCUAGUUGGUGGGGUAAAGGCCUACCAAGGCGACGAUCCGUAACUGGUCUGAGAGGAUGAUCAGUCACACUGGAACUGAGACACGGUCCAGACUCCGACGGGAGGCAGCAGGGGGGAAUAUUGGACAAGGGGCGAAAGCCUGAUCCAGCCAUGCCGCGGGUGUGAAGAAGGUCUGCGGAUUGUAAAGCACUUUAAGUUGGGAGGAAGGGCAGUAAGUUAAUACCUUGCUGUUUUGACGUUACCAACAGAAUAAGCACCGGCUAACUUCGU
rnacentral:rRNA from 1 species